rnacentral:rRNA from 1 species
UACGUAGGGUGCAAGCGUUAUCCGGAAUUAUUGGGCGUAAAGAGCUCGUAGGCGGUUUGUCGCGUCUGCUGUGAAAACUGGGGGCUCAACCCCCAGCCUGCAGUGGGUACGGGCAGACUAGAGUGCGGUAGGGGAGAUUGGAAUUUCCUGGUGUAGCGGUGGAAUGCGCAGAUAUCAGGAGGAACACCGGUGGCGAAGGCGGGUCUCUGGGCCGAUACUGACGCUGAGGAGCGAAAGCGUGGGGAGCGAACGG